rnacentral:lncRNA from 1 species
AUGGGAAAGACUAGAGAUCUCUUCAAGAAAAUUAGAGACACCAAGGGAACAUUUCCUGUGAGGAUGGGCUCAAUAAAGGACAGAAAUGGUAUGGACCUAACAGAAGCAGAAGAUAUUAAGAAGAGGUGGCAAGAAUACACAGAAGAGCUAUACAAAAAAGAUCUUCAUGAUCAAGAUAAUCACAAUGCUGUGAUCACUCACCUAGAGCCAGACAUCCUGGAAUGUGAAGUCAAGUGGGCCUUAGGAAGCAUCACUAGGAACAAAGCUAGUGGAGGUGAUGGAAUUCCAGUGGAGCUGUUUCAAAUCCUGAAAGAUGAUGCUGUGAAAGUGCUGCACUCAAUCUGCCAGCAAAUUUGGAAAACUCAGCAGUGGCCACAGGACUGGAAAAGGUCAGUUCUCAUGCAAAUCCCAAAGAAAGUCAAUGCCAAAGAAUGCUCAAACUACCGCACAAUUGCACUCAUCUCACAUGCUAGUAAAGUAAUGCUCAAAAUUCUGCAAGCCAGGCUUCAGCAAUAUGUGAACCGUGAACUUGCAGAUGUUCAAGGUGGUUUUAGAAAAGGCAGAGGAACCAGAGAUCAAAUUGCCAACAUCUGCUGGAUCAUGGAAAAAGCAAAAGAGUUCCAGAAAAACAUCGAUUUCUGCUUUAUUGACUAUGCCAAAGCCUUUGACUGUAUGGAUCACAAUAAACUGUGGAAAAUUCUGAAAGAGAUGGGAAUACCAGAACACCUGACUUGCCUCUUGAGAAAUCUGUAUGCAGGUCAGGAAGCAACAGUUAGAACUGGACAUGGAACAACAGAGUGGUUCCAAAUAGGAAAAGGAGUACGUCAAGUCUGCAUAUUGUCACCCUGCUUAUUUAACUUCUAUGCAGAGUACAUCAUGAGAAACGCUGGCUUGGAAGAAGCACAAGCUGGAAUCAAGAUUGCCGAGAGAAAUAUCAAGAACCUCAGAUAUGCAGAUGACACCACACUUAUGGCAGAAAGUGAAGAGGAACUAAAAAGCCUCUUGAUGAAAGGGAAAGAGGAGAGUGAAAAAGAUGGCUUAAAGCUCAACAUUCAGAAAACGAAGAUCAUGGCAUCUGGUCCCAUCACUUCAUGGGAAAUAGAUGGGGAAACAGUGGAAACAGUGUCAGACUUUAUUUUUCCGCACUCCAAAAUCACUGCAGAUGGUGACUGCAGCCAUGAAAUUAAAAGACACUUGCUCCUUGAAAGAAAAGUUAUGACCAAUCUAGAUAGCAUAUUGAAAAGCAGAGACAUUACUUUGCCAACAAAGGUCUGUCUAGUCAAGGCUAUGGUUUUUCCUGUGAUCAUGUAUGGAUGUGAGAGUUGGACUGUGAGCUGGGCACUGAAGAAUUGA